rnacentral:rRNA from 1 species
AUUGAACGCUGGCGGCAGGCUUAACACAUGCAAGUCGAGCGGGGAAAAGUAGCUUGCUACUGGACCUAGCGGCGGACGGGUGAGUAAUGCUUAGGAAUCUGCCUAUUAGUGGGGGACAACAUCUCGAAAGGGAUGCUAAUACCGCAUACGUCCUAUGGGAGAAAGCAGGGGACCUUCGGGCCUUGCGCUAAUAGAUGAGCCUAAGUCGGAUUAGCUAGUUGGUGGGGUAAAGGCCUACCAAGGCGACGAUCUGUAGCGGGUCUGAGAGGAUGAUCCGCCUCACUGGGACUGAGACACGGCCCAGACUCCUACGGGAGGCAGCAGUGGGGAAUAUUGGACAAUGGGGGGAACCCUGAUCCAGCCAUGCCGCGUGUGUGAAGAAGGCCUUUUGGUUGUAAAGCACUUUAAGCGAGGAGGAGGCUACCGAGAUUAAUACUCUUGGAUAGUGGACGUUACUCGCAGAAUAAGCACCGGCUAACUCUGUGCCAGCCGCCGCGGUAA